rnacentral:ncRNA from 14 species
ACACCGGCUCUUUUAAGAGCCACUGACUCUGACCUGGAGACAACGG